rnacentral:rRNA from 1 species
UACAGAGGGGGCCAGCGUUAUUCGGAAUUAUUGGGCGUAAAGGGCGCGUAGGCGGCUUUGCGUGUCUUUCGUGAAAUCCCUCGGCUCAACUGAGGACGUGCGGAAGAAACUGCAGGGCUGGAGUCCGGGAGAGGAGGGUGGAAUUCCCAGUGUAGCGGUGAAAUGCGCAGAUAUCAGGAGGAACACCGGUGGCGAAGGCGGCCUUCUGGACAGUGACUGACGCUGAGACGCGAAAGCGUGGGGAGCAAACAGG